rnacentral:rRNA from 1 species
GACGAACGCUGGCGGCGCGCCUAACACAUGCAAGUCGAACGGUGAAGAGGAGCUUGCUCCUCGGAACAGUGGCGGACGGGUGAGUAACACGUGAGCAACCUGGCUCUAAGAGGGGGACAACAGUUGGAAACGACUGCUAAUACCGCAUGACGUAUCGGGAUGGCAUCUUCCUGAUACCAAAGAUUUUAUCGCUUAGAGAUGGGCUCGCGUCUGAUUAGAUAGUUGGCGGGGUAACGGCCCACCAAGUCGACGAUCAGUAGCCGGACUGAGAGGUUGAACGGCCACAUUGGGACUGAGACACGGCCCAGACUCCUACGGGAAGCAGCAGUGGGGGAUAUUGGACAAUGGGGGCAACCCUGAUCCAGCGACGCCGCGUGAGGGAAGAAGGUUUUCGGAUUGUAAACCUCUGUUGACGGAGAAAAAAAUGAUGGUAUCCGUUUAGAAAGCCACGGCUAACUACGUG